rnacentral:rRNA from 1 species
UAAUACGGAGGGGGCUAGCGUUGUUCGGAAUUACUGGGCGUAAAGCGCGCGUAGGCGGACCUGCAAGUCGGGGGUGAAAGCCCGAGGCUCAACCUCGGAACUGCCUUCGAUACUGCGGGUCUCGAGUCCGGGAGAGGUGAGUGGAAUUCCUAGUGUAGAGGUGAAAUUCGUAGAUAUUAGGAAGAACACCAGUGGCGAAGGCGGCUCACUGGCCCGGUACUGACGCUGAGGCGCGAAAGCGUGGGGAGCAAACAGGAUUAGAUACCCUGGUAGUCCACGCCGUAAACUAUGGGUGCUAGCCGUCGGUCGGCAUGCCGGUCGGUGGCGCAGCCAACGCAUUAAGCACCCCGCCUGGGGAGUACGGUCGCAAGAUUA